CACGUAGGGCGCAAGCGUUGUCCGGAAUCAUUGGGCGUAAAGCGCGCGUAGGUGGCCCCGUAAGUCCGCUGUGAAAGUCAAAGGCUCAACCUUUGAAAGCCGGUGGAUACUGUGGGACUAGAGUACGGAAGAGGCGAGUGGAAUUCCUGGUGUAGCGGUGGAAUGCGCAGAUAUCAGGAGGAACACCAAUAGCGAAGGCAGCUCGCUGGGACGUUACUGACACUGAGGCGCGAAAGCGUGGGGAGCGAACAGG
rnacentral:rRNA from 1 species